rnacentral:misc_RNA from 1 species
GAUGAAGAACGUAGCGAAAUGCGAUAAGUAAUGCGAAUUGCAGAUUUCAGUGAGUCAUCGAAUCUUUGAACGCACAUUGCGCCUGCCAGCACUCUGGCAGGCAUGCCUGUUCGAGCGUCAUUUCAACCAUCAAGCCCUAGGCUUGCGUUGGAGCCCUGCGGCUGCCGCAGGCCCCUAAAAGCAGUGGCGGGCUCGCUAUCACACCGAGUGCAGUAGAUUACUCUUCGCUCAGGGCGUGUGGCGGGUUCCAGCCGUGAAACCCCCUACUUCUCAAGGUUGACCUCGGAUCAGGUAGGAAUACCCGCUGAACUUAAGCAUAUCAAUAAGCGGAGGA